AUAGUUACCCUUUUUCUCUCUUCCAGAAACUUUUUCGUGUUGCUGCUGUUCAGUUCUCUGACUCGCCUGAAAAAAUGAAAAUGUUCUCCAUGAAGACUCACUGGAAAAAAAGAAGCUCAAAAGCUGCAAGAGAGAGAAUCACAAACUCUUCAGCCAGCAGUGCUAUAAACACAAGUCCCCAGCUGACAGCCACUCCAAAGGAUAUUUCUGCAUUUUAUACUGCUCAGUUUCCAGCCUCCAAAUUGAAGUUCCUGGGUAAAGUCAAUGCAAACUACCAAUGCUUCAUCACCUCUGCUGCCAUUAAGGAGGUCCAGAUGAUCUAAAUCAGCUAAGAAGCCCAUUCCUACAUCUACCUGUUGGAGCUCUGCCUGACAGCCCCGCGAUUCCAGAGUUAUAACAAUUUGGAGGGAAGGUGAUCACACUUUUCCAUUACCAGAGGUUCCCACCUUCCCCAGCAGACCCAUCUUUCACCAGGACACCACCUAAACCUUGCACUUCUUCUACUUCCACCGUGCUUUCACCCAGUGCCUUUGGAGCAGUCAAUGCAAAGAACUAGAGCAUUACACAGAGCACACCUAAACCAAGCGCUCCUGAUCAGGCAGCGCUGCCCU